UACGGGGGGGGCAAGCGUUGUUCGGAAUUACUGGGCGUAAAGGGCGCGUAGGCGGCCUGAUAAGUAGGGGGUGAAAUCCUGCGGCUUAACCGCAGGGCUGCCUUCUAAACUGUCAGGCUCGAGCACAGUAGAGGCAGGUGGAAUUCCCGGUGUAGCGGUGGAAUGCGUAGAGAUCCGGAAGAACACCGGUGGCGAAGGCGGCCCGCUGGGCAGUGGCUGACGCUGAGGCGCGACAGCGUGGGGAGCAAACAGG
rnacentral:rRNA from 1 species